rnacentral:rRNA from 1 species
CUAGCUGUAAACGAUGGAUACUAGGCGUUGAGAGUAUCGACCCUCUCAGUGUCGUAGCUAACGCGUUAAGUAUCCCGCCUGGGGAGUACGCGCGCAAGCGUGAAACUCAAAGGAAUUGACGGGGGCCCGCAAAAGCGGUGGAGUAUGUGGUUUAAUUCGAUGCAACGCGAAGAACCUUACCAGGGCUUGACAUGUCCGGAACCCUGCCCAAAGGCGGGGGUGCCUACGGGAACCGGAACACAGGUGGUGC